ensembl:lncRNA
UAUUAACAUAGUUUUAAUAAAGAAAAAAAAAAAAACAGUCUUUCCAAUACCAAAGUUUUACAAAAUUAACACUUCUUACAGCUACUUGACUAUAUUAAACACCCAUCAAAAUAUCUGUUACACUUCCAGAUGCAGCGUAUGAACAGCGGUUAGAGAACAGUGGUUACGAAUGUGCUGUGUAUAACCGCAUUAAAGUGUUUUGAAUAAAACAACUGCACUCUUUAAGCCAAGUCUUCUUACACUACUAAGAAAAGCCCAGGGAGAGAAAUGAAAAAAUGUUUUAUUUUGAUAUUUAACUUCUAAAUUAAAGUAUCAUAAAACAUUUAUUUCUGCAAAUGUCAACUGCAUUCUGUUUUCAACAGCUGAUGUGUUCAUGUAGAGGUACAGAUUAUGGCAACAAGUUUACUUAACAUUCAUGAUGCUGAACACACUGCUGUAUCCUGAACCUUCAGCUUUCCCAUUUUUUUCCGCUCUCCCAGAAAACACGUUUUAAAACAUCCAAACAAUGUCCACACACUUAAGUCUAGUAGAGAUUAAAGGGAUCCUCUGACUAUUGAUGUUUUUUAGAGUUUACUAAUGCUUGAAAAUAGUAGCAAGCUACCCUCUAAUAUGUCUGUUAACAUAUUUGGUUUAAAAUUAACUUUUAACAAAGAUUUUUGUUGUUAUUCUCAUUGAAGGGAAAAUACAGAAUUCUUGCAAAUUCAGUAUCAGUCCUUCCAGCACCAAAAUAUACACAGUAUUUUUCUAGGUUUUAAAGCCCUGUGGCUUUGUAAAAAAACUACACUAAAUCAGAUUAUUUACUCAAUUUUGUAUAUUUUCUGUGGGCUGUCCUACCCUAAAUUUUCAACUAAUUAUAUUGUCUUUCUUCUGAAGACAUAUAAUAUGCUGUUUCCACCUUACGCUAAGAAGGAAUAAAGGAAUUAUUCUUCUUCCUUCUCCCCCUUCUCUCCCCCCAAUGGAUUUUACUGGCAUCUGCAUAGACCUUUCAUAAUAAAAAAACCAACAUUUGCAGGAUUGUACAGCGUAUUUUGAAGAAAUAAAAAUAAAAAUAUUUAUGACAAGUGACUCUUUGCGCAACUGCCUUUGUUUUGGAAACGGAGCUUUCUUACAGCUCAAAAUGAAAACUUAAUUCCAUUAAGUAAUACCAGUUCCGCCACUGAAUUUAAUGGAAACAGAAAAUCUUCCCAAUCUUCAGUCUAGCAUAAAGUAACAGUGUGUGAGCUAUGACUUGCCACAGAGGAAAAUGCUUUGCAUUUCUCUGCGUAGCAGCUCUUCAGCACACAAAUUUUGUAGCCCUUCUGCCUGUGCCUUAUCACUCCAAGCUCCUUCUCUAGUAAAUCAGCAAGAAGUGCACUGAAUCAAGAUCCUUCAUAGCUGCAUUUAGUAGAGAAUCAUUUACUCAGGUAUUGUGAGUUAGAGCUUUUCCAGUUAGUGUUCUUUCAAAUUCAAGAAACAGGAAAAGUAAGGAACAUCGCAUUAACGUACAAGGCUCUCCAAAUCUGACACAUACAUCCAGUUGACCACAGAAUUCCAUAGUACAAUUGCAAAGCAUGCCACAGUUCUGCCAUCGAUGGCUGUGUUCAAAUAAUUGUUACAGAACUUUCUUACUCCAUCUGUGACAAUUUCGAGAGUCUUUUGUUUGGAAAUUCAAAUGAUGAAAUAUAAACUGGCACAAACCCCCCCAAAAACCCAGAAGCAUUAAAGCUACUCAGCCAAAACCAUCCCUGGUUUAAUAGUUCUAUCUCACACUAUUAAAAUGGAUAAUACAGUGUAACAGUUAGCAAUGUCUAAUUCUCAUCUAUCAAAAUUGAGAGAAUAUUUCAGGUGUUUGAGUUCUCCCCUGAUGUAUUCCUAAAGUAACUUCCUGCUAGUGGAAUGUGAAGAAAGGUUAAACGAGACAGAAUCUGCCCCCAUAAGCAAAAUUAGCAAAGGCAC